rnacentral:tRNA from 1 species
GGGCGAGUGGUGGAAUGGCAGACACGUACGACUCAAAAUCGUAUGCCGAAAGGCAUGGGAGUUCGACUCUCCCCUCGCCCA